UACAGGGGGGGGCAAGCGUUGUUCGGAAUUACUGGGCGUAAAGGGCUCGUAGGCGGCCAACUAAGUCCGACGUGAAAUCCCAAGGCUUAACUUUGGAACUGCGUCGGAUACUGGAUGGCUUGAAUUCGGGAGAGGGAUGCAGAAUUCCAGGUGUAGCGGUGAAAUGCGUAGAUAUCUGGAGGAAUACCGGUGGCGAAGGCGGCAUCCUGGACCGACAUUGACGCUGAGGAGCGAAAGCUAGGGGAGCAAACGGG
rnacentral:rRNA from 1 species